UACGUAGGGGGCAAGCGUUGUCCGGAAUUACUGGGUGUAAAGGGAGCGUAGACGGUUAAGUAAGUCUGGAGUGAGAGGCCGGGGCCCAACCCCGGGACUGCUCUGGAAACUAUUGAACUUGAGUGCAGGAGAGGUAAGCGGAAUUCCUAGUGUAGCGGUGAAAUGCGUAGAUAUCAGGAGGAACACCGGUGGCGAAGGCGGCCUGCUGGACGGCGACUGACGUUGAGGCUCGAAAGCGUGGGGAGCGAACAGG
rnacentral:rRNA from 1 species